CGGUUCGAGUGGCGGACGGUGAGUAACGCGUGGGUAACCUGCCUUACACAGGGGGAUAACACCUGGAAACAGGUGCUAAUACCGCAUAAGCGCACAGGGCCGCAUGGCCCGGUGUGAAAAACUCCGGUGGUGUAAGAUGGACCCGCGUCUGAUUAGCUUGUUGGCGGGGUAGGGGCCCACCAAGGCGACGAUCAGUAGCCGGCCUGAGAGGGUGGACGGCCACAUUGGGACUGAGACACGGCCCAAACUCCUACGGAAGGCAGCAG
rnacentral:rRNA from 1 species